rnacentral:rRNA from 1 species
AAAGGUAAGCUACUAAGAGCGAAUGGUGGAUGCCUUGACUGGUAAAGGCGAUGAAGGACGUACUAGACUGCGAUAAGCUACGGGGAGCUGUCAAGAAGCUUUGAUCCGUAGAUUUCCGAAUGGGGCAACCCAAUGUAUAGAGAUAUACAUUACCUAUAUAGGAGCGAACGAGGGGAAUUGAAACAUCUUAGUACCCUCAGGAAAAGAAAUCAAUAGAGAUUGCGUCAGUAGCGGCGAGCGAAAGCGCAAGAGGGCAAACCCAGUGCUUGCACUGGGGGUUGUAGGACUGCAAUGUGCAAGAGCUGAGUUUAGCAGAACAUUCUGGAAAGUAUAGCCAUAGAGGGUGAUAGUCCCGUAUGCGAAAAACAAAGCUUAGCUAGCAGUAUCCUGAGUAGGGCGGGACACGAGGAAUCCUGUCUGAAUCCGGGUCGACCACGAUCCAACCCUAAAUACUAAUACCAGA